CGCUAUCAUCAUUAACUUUAUUUAUUACCGUCAUUCAUUUCUGAAUGUCUGUUUACCCCUAUUUCAAACCCCCGCCCCCCCCCCCCGCGUUUUUUUUU
rnacentral:other from 1 species